GAGACACUCUUUUGGAGCAGGAUGUGCUUCAGUAAGGCUUUGGCACUCACUGAGUCUGCCCCUUGAGUGUGUCGCU
rnacentral:pre_miRNA from 1 species